GUUAAGGAGAAGAGUAGUGUGUCCUGUCUAUGAUAUGCCCAAAACAACCAUAAAACCGCAACUACAUCGCUCAUCUUCAGACGACCAUUUACUAAAAGCCAAGGCUAUCGGCAGGUAACAUUAUAAAGUUAAUUGUCCUUUGAAAUGGAAAAUGUUUUGUGAUAUCACCUAAGAACACAGAGAAAAUCGACCCUCUGCAAUGAGAAUCACAUGUGCACCGCUUGUGUCUAACAGCAAAGAGACAAAAGCAGCUCCCCGCUGCCGAAUUCUCGGAAAGCCAGUUUGGCAACACUGCCAGAUGGCUCCCUCUAAGAUCCAGACAUAUCCAGCUCAUCUUCAUCAGCCUCCACUGAUUAGCGUCUACUGAAGCGACUGCAUUUCCAUUUGAUGUGAAUGUUACCAAUACCAUGUGCAAUAUGAAGUAUAUACAGUAUAUACAUCAAGGUUGAAAAUGAUGUGCUUUUGUGUAGUUUGUAAUACUCAUUUGAAAUGCAAUAAAGAUACAUUAUCAC